AAAGUCGUAACAAGGUUUCCGUAGGUGAACCUGCGGAAGGAUCAUUAGUGAAUAUAGCGUGUCUCUUCGGAGAGCGUGACCUCCACUUCUAACUCUGUGCAUUUGUUGGCGAGAGGGUAACCCAAGUUUCUACUUGGUUCGAAUCUUGCGGCUCAUUUUUUUUUAAAACACUAGUUAAAGUAUGUAACGAAAUAUCGAAACAUAAAAAAAACUUUCAACAACGGAUCUCUUGGCUCUC
rnacentral:misc_RNA from 1 species